GCGUGGCCAUCAGGGAGUGGUACCUCUGCGCAUGAGCAGAAUCCUGCCCGGGUUGGGGAAAACAGGGGGCGGUGGCUCCCAGUUCCAUCUUUGUCCCGCCUUCUUCAGGGUGAGAGCUAGAGCUUUUGCCUCAGGAACAAUCAUGAGCUUGAUGCGUCAACCACCAGGGACCGGCAGAGCUCCAUUCUCUUCAGACCAGCCUCCGGGAGAUGUGAAGUUUGAGGUACUGCCUCUUUCAGUUCCAGGACCCCAUCCAAGAUCCCGCCUGAUGUCCAAUCAUCCUGUCUCCAUAGGCUUUUCUUGGUGGCGACAGUUUCUCUGGCUUCCUUUCUAUGAUGCCCUUGAUGGUUGAGGAGGACCUGACAGUUGAGGAGUACCUGUCAGUUAUAGACCUGGAUAGGAGUCCACAGAGCCAAACCACAGCUGACCCAGGACUGUGUCAACACCCUUCAAGGAGCCUCAGAGUCCAGCUUCUGGGAGGCCAUCACACUUCUCACCUAUGUCCUAGCAUGCCCCAGGUAUUCCUCAAGCCUGGAAGAAGAGGAGGGCACUACUUCUGGCCUCUCAGGUUCCCUGAGCUCAGCAGGUGUUGAACUGUUGUGUGCUCUUCCAGCAAUGCACAAGAGUGCCUGUGGCUGUUCAUCAUCCUCAUGGUUGAUACUACACUUACUAAAGACCUUAGCAGCUCGUUUAUAUAUUUCACAAUUUCCCCUACAUGAUGGCUGAAAUAUAGGAAAUCAAUGAAAUUUUGUCUAUGGGCCAUGUACUUUGCUGCUUGCUAUCUCCAUCCAUUCUGAUCAAGACAUAGGAGAAAGAUACCAUGGCCUGGGGUGCCUGGUGGAUAUAUCUAUGGUGAGGACCAGAGCUUCCUUCUCCUUGGCACCUACCCAUGGAGACUCCACUGUGGAUUCAGGAUGCCUGAGGUCCAUGUGAGGAAAACAUGAGGAAGAAGCUUCCUGUGCACUACCUGAUGGGCUGAGAAAUCAUGAACAUUUGAAAUAAAAUCAGAAUUUGUUAAAGGGCAGAUGACAGCCAGCCUUGAGCCCUGAUGAUCCCAGGAUCCCAUCCAGUGGGAGAACUCUAAGUAUCAGUCCAAGCUUUUGAUCUCAUCUAGGAGCCAACAUGACAUCCAGUCAUCAUGUCUCCAUAGACUUCUCUUGGCGUGACAGUUUCUAUGAACUUCCUUCUUCUGAUGACCUUGACAGCAUUGAGGACGACUUGUCAGACACCUGGAAAGAUAUCAUGGACUGGGGAUGCCUGGUGGAUAUGUCUAUGGUGAGCACUAGAGCUUCCUUCUCCUUGGCACCUACCCAUGGAGGCUCCACUGUGGAUUCAGGAUGACUGAGGUCCAUGUGAGGAAAACAUGAGGAAGAAGCUUCCUGUGCACUGCCUGGUGGGCUGAGAAAUCAUGAACAUUUGAAAUAAAAUCAGAAUUUGUUAAAGGGCAGAUGACAGUCAGCCUUGAGCCCUGAUGAUCCCAGGAUCCUAUCCAGUGGGGGAACUCUAAGUACCAGUCCAAGGAGCUGUGUGCCUGAGAUCAAGGCCAAAGCUGAUAAGACUCCAGCACAAAGCCUUCUAAUGCAGGACAUUGCUAUAGCAGGUAGGCAUCCCGUGUCUUUGCACAGAAGUUUUCCUAGCAUCCAGGCAUUCCACAUCUUUGCACAGAAACUUCCUAGCCACCAAGUAUGCCACAUUCAUGAAGCCAUCAGAGACCCCAGUCCCAAACACAGAACCCUUACAAUUAAGGCCAAAGGGAAGCUGUUAUAUCAGUUUUACAUGCUAUAAUGUGGACAUAAUAUUAGUUUUAAAACUGAAGAGCUGCCUGUGACCUUUUAAUACAAACAUACCAUACUAUGAAAUUAU